rnacentral:lncRNA from 1 species
AGAACAAUUGAAAUAGGAAAUCAAAAUUGAAAUACAAGUGAUAACAAUUGUAUUCCAAAUCAACACCUUAUGCAUAAAGUUAAAAGAAAGCCAAAACACUCUAAACUCAAUUCUGAAAUGUUUGAUUACAACUCUUGAUGUCCACAAAGAAGAGUUUUUUUGGUAUUUAUAGCCAAAGAAAUCAAUGAUAAGUUACAAUACAAUAACUACAAUUGUAAUUUCCACAAUAACUAGGUUAAUUAUGUGGUAAUUACAAUUGUAACUCCAACAAUAACUAGGCUAAUUAUAGGAAUGUAAUUGUUAUGUAACUCCUUGUAACUCCAAUCUUCUUAACCAACGCCACUAAUUGUUUAUGGCACCAUAUAGUUAUGGGCUCAUUCUUGUAAUAACACUAAGAAAAGACUUAAGCCCAAAAUGAGUUAUACUUAACUAUAUGAGCUUAAUUAACUCAAACUAAAAUAAAACAAUCCAAAAUAUUUAAAAUAACUCAACUAAUCCAGCCUAUACACAAGGCUUAUUCAUCCAUUAUCAAUAAGACUCAAACAAGCCCAAAUUAUUCCAAAUCACUUAAAUCCAAUUAAAGUUACGAAUUUGGGUUGCUCAAAAAGCUCAUAUUUGAACUUUCUACAAUUGGCCAGCCCAUCAUCCACAUGUUUUUGAGUAAAAACUUGGACCAACUCGUUAAGCUUCUUUGCCUUUGAUCUUGUUACUGGUCCGCUGAAACUUUUCAGGUUUUGAACUGUAUUUGCGUUUACAUCAUUU